GAUGAACGCUAGCGAUAGGCUUAACACAUGCAAGUCGAGGGGCAGCACAAGGUAGCUUGCUAUCUGGGUGGCGACCGGCGCACGGGUGCGUAACGCGUAUGCAACUUGCCCUAUACAGGAGGAUAACCCGUCGAAAGACGGACUAAUACUGCGUAUGCUCACAACUUGGCAUCAAGUGGUGAGGAAAGAAAUUCGGUAUAGGAUAGGCAUGCGUCCCAUUAGCUUGUUGGUGAGGUAACGGCUCACCAAGGCAGCGAUGGGUAGGGGAACUGAGAGGUUUAUCCCCCACACUGGUACUGAGACACGGACCAGACUCCUACGGGAGGCAGCAGUGAGGAAUAUUGGUCAAUGGGCGCGAGCCUGAACCAGCCAAGUCGCGUGAAGGAUGACUGUCUUAUGGAUUGUAAACUUCUUUUAUACGGGAAUAACAAGAGUCACGGGUGACUCCCUGCAUGUACCGUAUGAAUAAGCAUCGGCUAACUCCGUG
rnacentral:rRNA from 1 species